AUUGAACGCUGGCGGCAUGCCUUACACAUGCAAGUCGAACGGCAGCACGGGUGCUUGCACCUGGUGGCGAGUGGCGAACGGGUGAGUAAUACAUCGGAACAUGUCCUGUAGUGGGGGAUGGCCCGGCGAAAGCCGGAUUAAUACCGCAUACGAUCCACGGAUGAAAGCGGGGGACCUUCGGGCCUCGCGCUAUAGGGUUGGCCGAUGGCUGAUUAGCUAGUUGGUGGGGUAAAGGCCUACCAAGGCGACGAUCAGUAGCUGGUCUGAGAGGACGACCAGCCACACUGGGACUGAGACACGGCCCAGACUCCUACGGGAGGCAGCAGUGGGGAAUUUUGGACAAUGGGCGAAAGCCUGAUCCAGCAAUGCCGCGUGUGUGAAGAAGGCCUUCGGGUUGUAAAGCACUUUUGUCCGGAAAGAAAUCCUUGACUCUAAUACAGUCGGGGGAUGACGGUACCGGAAGAAUAAGCACCGGCUAACUACGUG
rnacentral:rRNA from 1 species